rnacentral:rRNA from 1 species
AUGGCGCCCUCGCGCCGCCGCGCGCGGUCGAGCGAGCCGGCGGCGGACCUGCUGACCUCCCUGCCGCCGCCCCUGCUCGACAGCAUCCUCACCCGCCUCGGCCUCCGCGACGCCGUCCGCACCUCCGCGCUCUCUCGCGCCUGGCGCCGCCGUUGGGUGGACCUCCCCUGCGUUCUCCUUCGCUACCCCGGCAACAUCUCGAAUUUCUCCAUCCAUUCCCUCGACAAGCACUCCGUCCGCCGCGUCGACGACUGGCUCAUCGCCCUGUGCAACCGCGGCGUCAGGUCCAUCGACCUCCAGGCCCCAGGCUUGGCCAUUCAUUCUUCUGUCUUCUUAUGCACGAGUCUCGUGUGCCUGGAGCUGCACUUGUGCUCGAUACCUCCUCUCCCCGUGGAAUUCACUGGCUUCCCCGUGCUCAAGCAGCUCAAACUCAUGGUCGUCAAAUUCCCUCCGAAUGGGGAGAUCCAACUGGAGGCAAUUAUCAACGCGUCACCCUUGCUUGAUACCCUGACUCUUUCCUAUGUCGAUACACGCAGCGAGGCCUUGCCCGGUUGGGUGAUUGGGGGGGGCCAAUCUCCGGAGCCUAACUAUCGUUUCCAAUGA